AAAAAUUCCACCGCUGACUCCUGGUGUGAACAGGUGUCACCCUAACUUUUCCAAACCAGGAGGCGAAACUCUACGACAAGCUGGAUGGUGAAACUGCUAGCUGCGAGUUCUCCACCUGUGGGUAUAGAAACGGCGGGGCGGGGCGGUCAUGGUGCUGAAGUAAAGCAUGUGAGCACCGGAAGUUCUCUCUGUCCGCCCUUCCUCCGGCUUCCGCUGUGGGGUUCCUGUGUGCUAGAGCGGCACCGUCAGCAGCAGUUCCGCCAGCCUUCUGUGGGCCUCAUGUGUAGAGAUACAGGUUCACAGCCCUUUGAUGUGGCAGCCCUAAUACAACCAUGUUCUCCCAGAAAAACACUCAUAAAAUGAAAAUGCAGGUCUCACCCACACAAGAACAGAUAAGCAGCCUGUGAAACCACCCUCAUGUUAAAGAACUGAGUUCUCCUGCCAACAGCCAGUAACACAUGAGCAAGUCUUAUUGGAAGUGGAUCUCCCAGCGCUUGUCAAGCCUUCUGAUGACGGCAGUCCAGCCGUCAGCUGGAGGGCAACCUCAGAAAACACUGCAACCAGAACCUCUCACCUA
rnacentral:lncRNA from 1 species